rnacentral:rRNA from 1 species
CGGACUGUAGGCUGCAACUCGCCUACACGAAGUCGGAAUCGCUAGUAAUCGCGGAUCAGCAUGCCGCGGUGAAUACGUUCCCGGGCCUUGUACACACCGCCCGUCACACCAUGGGAGUUUGUAACACCCAAAGUCGGUGGCCUAACCUUUAUGGAGGGAGCCGCCUAAGGCGGGACAGAUGACUGGGGUGAAGUCGUAACAAGGUAAC